GACGUAGGGGGCAAGCGUUGUCCGGAAUUAUUGGGCGUAAAGCGCUCGUAGGCGGAUCGGUAAGUCUGUGAAGAAAGACCCGGGCUCAACUCGGGGAACGGCAUAGAUACUGCUGAUCUUGAGACAGUCAGAGGAUGAUGGAAUUCCGGGUGUAGCGGUGGAAUGCGUAGAGAUCCGGAAGAACACCGGUGGCGAAGGCGGUCUGCUGGGCAGUUGCUGACACUGAGGCGCGACAGCGUGGGGAGCAAACAGG
rnacentral:rRNA from 1 species